rnacentral:rRNA from 1 species
CACGUAGGGCGCAAGCGUUGUCCGGAAUUAUUGGGCGUAAAGAGCGUGUAGGCGGCCAUGCAGGUCCGCUGUGAAAACUGGAGGCUUAACCUCCAGACGUCGGUGGAAACCGCAUGGCUAGAGUCCGGAAGAGGAGAGUGGAAUUCCCGGUGUAGCGGUGAAAUGCGCAGAUAUCGGGAAGAACACCCGUGGCGAAGGCGGCUCUCUGGGACGGUACUGACGCUGAGACGCGAAAGCGUGGGGAGCGAACAGG